UGGGGAAUAUUGGUCAAUGGGGGAAACCCUGAACCAGCGACGCCGCGUGAGGGAAGAAGGUUUUCGGAUUGUAAACCUCUGUCUUCGGGGACGAAUGAAUGACGGUACCCGAGGAGGAAGCCACGGCUAACUACGUGCCAGCAGCCGCGGUAAUACGUAGGUGGCAAGCGUUGUCCGGAAUUACUGGGUGUAAAGGGAGCGUAGGCGGGAAGAUAAGUUGUAUGUUAAAUCGAUCGGCUCAACCGGUCGUCGCGUGCAAAACUGUCUUUCUUGAGUGGAGUAGAGGCAAGCGGAAUUCCUAGUGUAGCGGUGAAAUGCGUAGAUAUUAGGAGGAACACCAGUGGCGAAGGCGGCUUGCUGGGCUUUUACUGACGCUGAGGCUCGAAAGCAUGGGUAGCAAACA
rnacentral:rRNA from 1 species